AUUGAACGCUGGCGGAAUGCUUAACACAUGCAAGUCGAGCGGGGUGUAGCAAUACACCUAGCGGCGGACGGGUGAGGAAUACAUAGGAAUCUGCCUCAGAGCGGGGGACAGCCCGGGAACCCGGAUUAAUACCGCAUGAUGUCGCAAGACCAAAGUGGGGGACCGCAAGGCCCCACACUCUGAGAUGAGCCUAUGUCCGAUUAGCUAGUUGGCGGGGUAAUAGCCCACCAAGGCGACGAUCGGUAGCUGGUCUGAGAGGACGAUCAGCCACACCGGAACUGAGACACGGUCCGGACUCCUACGGGAGGCAGCAGUGGGGAAUAUUGGACAAUGGGCGCAAGCCUGAUCCAGCAA
rnacentral:rRNA from 1 species